UCCGUAGGGUGAACCUGCGGAAGGAUCAUUACCGAGUUAGGGUCUCCUUCGUGAGGCCCGACCUCCCAACCCUGUGUCUAACAAACCUGUAUGUGUUGCUUCGGCGGAACGGCAGUCGACCCUUUCGGGGGGCGACCGUCGCCGGGGGCGUCCCGCCCUUGGAGAGCGUCCGCCGAUGGCCCAACCAAAACAAACUCCCAAACCAAAUAAUAGUACCUAAAACUUCUGAAUCAGACUUUUGAUAUACCAAUCAAAAACAAAACUUUCAACAACGGAUCUCUUGGUUCUGGCAUCGAUGAAGAACGCAGCGAAAUGCGAUAAGUAAUGCGAAUUGCAGAAUUUCCGUGAGUCAUCGAAUCUUUGAACGCACAUUGCGCCCUUUGGCAUUCCGAAGGGCAUGCCUGUUCGAGCGUCAUUAUCCUCUCUCAAACCUCGUGUUUGGUGUUGGACCGCGUUGGACCGCCUCCAUGGCCCAACUGGUCUCAAAGACAAUGACGGCGUCCCAGGGACCCUCUUCGCACUGAGUUCUCCGGAGCACGCGUAGAGUUUCAAGGGCCCAGGGACCCGGUCACCUUUAUUAUUUUUUCUAGGUUGACCUCGGAUCAGGUAGGAAUACCCGCUGAACUUAAGCAUAUCAAUAAGCGGAGGA
rnacentral:rRNA from 1 species